UAGUCCACACCGUAAACUAUGUUCACUCGAUGUUGGCUAAAUAUUGUCAGUGUCCAAGCGAAAGCGUUAAGUGAACCACCUGGGGAGUACGCCGGCAACGGUGAAACUCAAAGGAAUUGACGGGGGCCCGCACAAGCGGUGAAGCAUGUGGUUUAAUUCGAUGAUACGCGAGGAACCUUACCUAGGCUACAAUGCCUCUGCUACUGGGUGAAAGCUCAGGUUCCUUCGGGACAGAGUGCAAGGUGCUGCAUGGUUGUCGUCAGCUCGUGCCGUGAGGUGUUGGGUUAAGUCCCGCAACGAGCGCAACCCCUAUCGUUAGUUGCCAGCAAGUCAUGUUGGGGACUCUAACGAGACUGCCUUCGCAAGAAGUGAGGAAGGCGGGGAUGACGUCAAAUCAUCAUGGCCCUUACGCCUAGGGCGACACACGUGCUACAAUGGACGGUACAGCGGGUUGCAACACUGCGAAGUGAAGCCAAUCCCUAAAAGCCGUUCUCAGUUCGGAUUGG
rnacentral:rRNA from 1 species